rnacentral:rRNA from 1 species
GGCUUAACACAUGCAAGUCGAGGGGUAUUAGUUUUCGGACUAAGAGACCGGCGCACGGGUGCGUAACGCGCAUGCAAUCUACCUUUUACAGAGGGAUAGCCCAGAGAAAUUUGGAUUAAUACCUCAUAGUAUAGCAGUUUCGCAUGAAACCACUAUUAAAGUCACAACGGUAAAAGAUGAGCAUGCGUCCCAUUAGCUAGUUGGUAAGGUAACGGCUUACCAAGGCUACGAUGGGUAGGGGUCCUGAGAGGGAGAUCCCCCACACUGGUACUGAGACACGGACCAGACUCCUACGGGAGGCAGCAGUGAGGAAUAUUGGACAAUGGGCGCAAGCCUGAUCCAGCCAUGCCGCGUGCAGGAUGACGGUCCUAUGGAUUGUAAACUGCUUUUGUACGAGAAGAAACACUCCUAUGUAUAGGAGCUUGACGGUAUCGUAAGAAUAAGGAUCGGCUAACUCCGUGCCAGCAGCCGCGGUAAUACGGAGGAUCCAAGCGUUAUCCGGAAUCAUUGGGUUUAAAGGGUCCGUAGGCGGUUUAGUAAGUCAGUGGUGAAAGCCCAUCGCUCAACGGUGGAACGGCCAUUGAUACUGCUGAACUUGAAUUAUUAGGAAGUAACUAGAAUAUGUAGUGUAGCGGUGAAAUGCUUAGAGAUUACAUGGAAUACCAAUUGCGAAGGC